rnacentral:rRNA from 1 species
GAUGAACGCUGGCGGCGUGCCUAAUACAUGCAAGUCGAGCGAACGGACGAGAAGCUUGCUUCUCUGAUGUUAGCGGCGGACGGGUGAGUAACACGUGGAUAACCUACCUUAAGACUGGGAUAACUUCGGGAAACCGUAGCUAAUACCGGAUAAUAUUUUGAACCGCAUGGUUCAAAAGUGAAAGACGGUCUUGCUGUCACUUAUAGAUGGAUCCGCGCUGCAUUAGCUAGUUGGUAAGGUAACGGCUUACCAAGGCAACGAUGCAUAGCCGACCUGAGAGGGUGAUCGGCCACACUGGAACUGAGACACGGUCCAGACUCCUACGGGAGGCAGCAGUAGGGAAUCUUCCGCAAUGGGCGAAAGCCUGACGGAGCAACGCCGCGUGAGUGAUGAAGGUCUUCGGAUCGUAAAACUCUGUUAUUAGGGAAGAACAUAUGUGUAAGUAACUGUGCACAUCUUGACGGUACCUAAUCAGAAAGCCACGGCUAACUACGUG